rnacentral:rRNA from 1 species
ACUCCUACGGGAGGCAGCAGUAGGGAAUCUUCCACAAUGGGCGCAAGCCUGAUGGAGCAACACCGCGUGAGUGAAGAAGGGUUUCGGCUCGUAAAGCUCUGUUGUUAAAGAAGAACACGUAUGAGAGUAACUGUUCAUACGUUGACGGUAUUUAACCAGAAAGUCACGGCUAACUACGUGCCAGCAGCCGCGGUAAUACGUAGGUGGCAAGCGUUAUCCGGAUUUAUUGGGCGUAAAGAGAGUGCAGGCGGUUUUCUAAGUCUGAUGUGAAAGCCUUCGGCUUAACCGGAGAAGUGCAUCGGAAACUGGAUAACUUGAGUGCAGAAGAGGGUAGUGGAACUCCAUGUGUAGCGGUGGGAUGCGUAGAUAUAUGGAAGAACACCAGUGGCGAAGGCGGCUACCUGGUCCGCAACUGACGCUGAGACUCGAAAGCAU